GACGUAGGGGGCGAGCGUUGUCCGGAUUUAUUGGGCGUAAAGCGUGCGUAGGCGGCUGCGCAAGUCGGUUGUGAAACCCCGGGGCUCAACCCCGGAACUGCAUCCGAUACUGCGUGGCUAGAGGUAGGUAGGGGAGAUCGGAAUUCCUGGUGUAGCGGUGAAAUGCGUAGAUAUCAGGAGGAAUACCGGUGGUGUAGACGGCUCUCUGGACCGCGACUGACGCUGAGACACAAAAGCGUGGGUAGCAAACAGG
rnacentral:rRNA from 1 species